rnacentral:rRNA from 1 species
UGAGGAAUAUUGGGCAAUGCCCGCAAGGGUGACCCAGCAACGCCGCGUGGAGGAUGAAUGUCGUAGGAUUGUAAACUCCUGUUAGAGGGGAAGAAUAGUACCGGUUGGACUGGUAUAUGACUGUACCCUCAGAGAAAGCCCCGGCUAACUACGUGCCAGCAGCCGCGGUAAUACGUAGGGGGCAAGCGUUGUCCGGAUUUACUGGGUGUAACGGGCGCGCAGGCGGGAUAAAAAGUCAGUGGUGAAAUCCUACAGCUUAACGGUAGAACUGCCUUUGAUACUUUUAGUCUUGAGUUCGGGAGAGAGAGACGGAAUUCCAGGUGUAGUGGUGAAAUACGUAGAUAUCUGGAAGAACACCAGUUGCGAAGGCUGUCUCUUGGUCCGACACUGACGCUGAGGCGCGAAAGCUUGGGGAGCAAACA